CUGAGUUCUAAAUAUUAACUUUCUAAGGGAAACCACCUCAAAAGAAAUAUUUUUUUUUUAAUUCUAGAAUUAGUAUUCCAAAGAAAACUUCUAAAGGAAAUAUAAAAACACAAAAUUUCUUCUUUUUUUUCGCUUUUUUGACUUGUAACACAUUUCCAAAUACAAAAUAAGAAAUACAAUAACAAAAGACUCGGCAAACUUAACUAGACUAUGACAAACUCUAACAUUACCUAAAAGACUGGAUACUACUAUACAAGACUAGAAAGUAAAACAUGAACAGUUGACUCAAAAACAUAAAAUGGAUCCUCGAGCAGCUCCUGAAUGCAGUGAUCCUGAGGUAUCUGUCAUGCUCAAACUCCGGUAAGUAGAUCCACAUCUGUAUGAAAAACUUUUAACCAACACUAUGUGAGAUAAUAACACUCCCUAUUAACAUAUGCAAGACAUAUUUGAGGCUAUUUUUGCAAAAUGACUAUGUGGCCAAAAGUGGCUAAAAAUGCAAAAUUUGGCUAAGACCCCGCAAAGCCAAGAACCUAAGAUUUACUAGGAAGACUGGACCCUAUGUGAGUUAUCUACGUAUCACGCCUCGAUCGACGAGAAUCAGGUAUCGUAGUUCGGGCAGAUUGGAUACGGGCGAGAAAUAAAAAUAACAACUAAUUCAGAGAAAAAACAUUUUUUAUCUUUUGUUUUGAAAAAUGAUGAAACAUGUAAACUCCUUUUGGAUUUUCUUAUUUUUCCCCUUUUUUUGAUUUUCUGAUUUUCGGAAAAUGAUGAAAAAGUGCAAAAUCUUUUUUUUUUUUGAAAUUUCAAGCUCUUUUUUCUUUUCUUAACAACAAUGUGAUAGAAAACAUAAUUGGGUCCUCCUCGCUUUAUCCUCACACUUCACCUCUUUUUUUCUUUUUCAUUUGCCCCCAAUUAUCAUUGGUCUGCCAAAUGACCCUUUUACCCUUGAAGAAAUGCAAUAUGUAGCACAUAUGAUACAUCAGGAUGGUCUUUUCUAAUCGGGUGCACCUGUCAUAGAUGGACCCAACCCCUGUGUUGAGUCCCCAUUGUCAAAAAUGCACAUGAUACAAGCAAGCGCUCCUACUAGGGAUCCGGCAUGAGGCUAUGUUAUACUAGGUUUGAAAACCUGGGUUUAUUGUUCUAGACCUGGCUUACCCGGGCAGACAGCUCGAGCCGAGGCGGGCAGCGUACCGGGAAUACAGAAGCUUCACCGGCUUUGCAACUUGUCCGAACCUCGUUCUAACAUUGGAUAAGACUCUAGACAGAAGAGAAGUCACAUGAAGUGCACCCUUCUCAAAUGAUUUAGAAGACUCGGAGAGAAGAAGGGUUUCGUAGCAGUUUAUAUACAGUUCACAGAAUAUCAAAGCGAUAAAAGCAACACUUAGCAAAUUAGGCCCAAACAUGGAACAAAAUCAGAUAAUAAAUAAAGCCAAAUAUAACAAUUCAUCUAAGCUCGAAUUCUGAACCAAAGUUCUGGGUUCGAUCCCCAGCAGAGUCGCUAGAGCUAUCACACCUCCUUUUUCACUACCCCCGGAAGGGUAUAAGGGAGUUUUUUCAAUUUAAGUGACAAUUGAAACGGGAUCAUUUUAUUAAAAAUUCAGAGUCGCCACUUGGGAUAAUUUAUGGUAUCUCAAGUCACCGGUUUAAAAUCCCAAAUCGAGGAAAAGAUUGACUCUAUUUUACAGUCCGCAAACACAGAAAUUCAGGUAAGGAACUUUGUUAACCCGAGAGAAGGUGUUAGGCAUUCCCGGGUUUUGUGGUUCUAGCACGGUCGCUCAACUGUUAUAAUUGGCCUAUUAUCUGAUUUUAAUACAUGUUUUAACCUAUGGUACAAUUUUUAACUUAUUAACCGCUUUUAAUUAUUUUAGGAAAAGAUUCAACAUUAUUUAAAACACGCCUUGAACCACGCCACAUGAAAUGCACACGCAAUCCACGACACAUUUUAUUUAACGUUGUUGAGAAUUGGAGUUGAGUCACAUGAAAUGCGCACCCGAGUUUAAGGAAAUUAAUUUAAAUGGUGCGCCUAAAGUAAGCCACGGUGUUCAUAAUUAUUCAUUUUUUCUAAAUUUAAGUAGGAAAAUGAAUUAAACUAAUAUUACCAGAUAUGAUCAAGAAAACUGGAAAAGAAAACAAUUAAAGAACGCUAACAAAUUACAAAUGUUUCUCUAUUUUUGGGUUAGCCAAAGAUAUGCAGCAAUCCAUAUUGUUCUUUUCCUCUUCUUCCUUUGCAUUGGAGGUAAUUCAAUAAUCAAACAAUUAUAGUUAGUUAACAAAAAAAAUGAUAAAAGACUACAAUUCAAUGUAGUACGUCUAAUUACAUCAAUUUGAAAGAGAUUUGACAUUAACUACUGUUCAAACCAACGAGCUUUUCCUGCCAUCUAAACCUCAUUAUUUUUUCAUAUAACUCUUACACAUUAUUACCAAUUGGAAAUAACCACAAACUAUUCUUGUUCAUCAACACACUGAUCACGGGCAGAAUUACAGAGCUAAAUUAGUACAUAAAAUUGUGAUAAAAGCAAAAUUCCAUAAUUAACUGUUUCAAUUAACCCAAAGAGAAAUUCGUGCAUACUGAAUAUUUGAACAAUCCAAAAAAAAAAAUAGAUUUGCAAUUCACUUUGAAAAAUAUUUUUAAACAUACCAGUGAACAAACAACUACAAGCUUCAUGGCAUUGCUAGCUCAAACAGGUUUACGAUUCGGGUCCCAAAUGUUAUGGCAGUAUCUAAAUCCAAUUUUAUAUUCAAAUAGACAAGAUAUGUAAAUCAAUAAUUGUAAUCACUUGUUCAACAGAUAAGAACAUGUAGUUUCUGAAAUCCUUUCUCAUAAAAAACAACAAGUGGUCCAAAUCAAAUUACAAAGUCGAAAUCAAGAAAAUGUACCUUGCUCCAAUAGAAUAAAAGAGAAACAAUGAUAAGAAAUGAAUAUGGAUCUCGGCAAUGCAGUGAACUAGCAGCACACAGUAGUUUCUUCGAUUCAAAAGUUUUUACCCAGGAAAUGUGCAGCAAACCCGUUAAACUUGAAAACAACUAUCGGCUCUUCUUCUCUUUCUUUCUUUUUUUUUGAACUUUUCUUUAGUUUUAAAGAUUUUUGAUUUUCAGAUCUUCAUUUGAGUUUUUGUUUUAGCUUUGUUUCAGCCAUUUUUGCAUUUCGCGUGUGUCAAUCAUGAGUGAAAGGUGAGUGAAGGAAAGAAGAAAAGAAGGGGAAAGUGUUGGUUUUUUAGAGAAAUCAAGCUGAAGAAGAUGACCUGGGGCGCCGUUUCUCUAUAUUUCUAAGGGGUAAGGGAUCUAAUCAUCUUGUAUUGGUUGUGAGAUGAAGAAGCAGCAGCGUUGGUUUUGGGUAUUGAAGAAAAAUGGGGAUCUCCUUCUCUGUGGCGCUGCCUUUUGUCUGGGAUCUUUUUUAGGUCUCCCCAAAUCUGAUUUCUUUUGUGUCUUAACUCCCCUUUUAUGUGAAGGAUUAGGGUAUGAAAAAUGAAAAAAAGGGUAGUGGGUCAAAUGGGUAUUGGUAUUGGAAUUGGUUUGGGGUUUAGAAUUGAUUUGGGCAUGGACCAAUUUUAG
rnacentral:lncRNA from 1 species